UGUUAAGUCAGUAGCUAGAACAGGUGCUGCAUGGCUGUCGUCAGCUCGUGCCGUGAGGUGUUCGGUUAAGUCCGCUAACGAGCGCAACCCUCGCUGUGUGUUACAAGUGUCACACGGAACUGCCGGUCAUAAACCGGAGGAAGGUGGGAUGACGUCAAGUCAGCAUGGCCUUUAUAUCCUGGGCUACACACACGCUACAAUGGGAAGGGACAAUAGGUUGCGAAGCCGCGAGGCGGAGCCAAUCCAGCAAAACUUCCCUCAGUUCAGAUUGCAGGCUGCAACUCGCCUGCAUGAAGUUGGAGUUGCUAAGUAAACGCAGGUCAGCCAUACUGCGUUGAAUACCGGUUCCCGGGGCUU
rnacentral:rRNA from 1 species